GUUUAUUCUAAUGUUAACAGAAGAUGUUUAUUAUGUGUAUGAGUUAAACACGUACCUGCCAACUGUCACUAUUUGUGGGGGAUUUCCCCCAUACAGGCUCCAAGUUGGAAGUUUUGUCUACAAUUUAAAACCAAAUAAUUAACCAUUGGUAUAGGAUUGUAAAUGCUUGAAGAAGCAAAAAAAAAUUGCAAUAAAUUUGAAGGUCAUUUUAAGGGUUUGCAGAACUAUGAGAACCAUCUUGCACGUAAAUACCC
rnacentral:lncRNA from 1 species